GUACACAAAAAUGCACAUACUGUGAGCUCGAUGAGUAGGGCGGGACACGUGGUAUCCUGUCUGAAUAUGGGGGGACCAUCCUCCAAGGCUAAAUACUCCUGACUGACCGAUAGUGAACCAGUACCGUGAGGGAAAGGCGAAAAGAACCCCGGCGAGGGGAGUGAAAAAGAACCUGAAACCGUGUACGUACAAGCAGUGGGAGCCUCUUAAUGGGGUGACUGCGUACCUUUUGUAUAAUGGGUCAGCGACUUAUAUUCUGUAGCAAGGUUAACCGAAUAGGGGAGCCGAAGGGAAACCGAGUCUUAACUGGGCGUUAAGUUGCAGGGUAUAGACCCGAAACCCGGUGAUCUAGCCAUGGGCAGGUUGAAGGUUGGGUAACACUAACUGGAGGACCGAACCGACUAAUGUUGAAAAAUUAGCGGAUGACUUGUGGCUGGGGGUGAAAGGCCAAUCAAACCGGGAGAUAGCUGGUUCUCCCCGAAAGCUAUUUAGGUAGCGCCUCGUGAAUUCAUCUCCGGGGGUAGAGCACUGUUUCGGCAAGGGGGUCAUCCCGACUUACCAACCCGAUGCAAACUGCGAAUACCGGAGAAUGUUAUCACGGGAGACACACGGCGGGUGCUAACGUCCGUCGUGAAGAGGGAAACAACCCAGACCGCCAGCUAAGGUCCCAAAG
rnacentral:rRNA from 1 species